CCCAAAUGGGGGCAGAUCCAACCCUUUCUGGCAGCGAAACCCUCCCUUGAAGUGCAGAGCCAGCGAUAAGGAGACGUCUGUAUUUGUAUGAACGAUCCAGAAUAAUCUGGGACAUAACAGCAAGCCUGCAGGAUCUGGAGCAAGCAUCCUUGUUGAGAAUCACUGCUCUAUCUGUUGAAAAAGGUCAUACCUGUGCCAACACCAUAGAGAAGACGUCCUAUCAGAAU